CAAUAGCGUAUAUUAAAGUUGUUGCAGUUAAAAGCUCGUAGUUGAAUUUCUGGUCAAUUUUAGUUUCGGCUUCGGUCGGUCUAAGGUUGGCCAUCCGUCUGCAAGCUAUUCUCGUCCUUCACUGUGUCGGUUUAGCGAGCUGACAUUUUACUUUAGAAAAAUUAGAGUGUUUCAGGCAGGCUUUUGCCCGAAUACAUUAGCAUGGAAUAAUGGAAUUGGACUCUGGUCCAUUUGGUUGGUUAUUGGAUCUGAGUAAUGGUUAAUAGGGACAGUUGGGGGCAUCAGUAUUCUGAAGCGAGAGGUGAAAUUCUUGGACCUUCGAAGACUAACAACUAGCGAAAGACAUUUGUCCUAGGAUGUUCUUCUUUAAUUACAAGAACGAAAGUUAGGGGGAGUCGAAGAUGAUCAGAUACCA
rnacentral:rRNA from 1 species